AUUUUAAACCCUGUGAUUACUGGAGCUGAUUUAUAUAGUAGCUUCACUUCACAAUACUGCGAAUCAGGCACGCGGUAAUUGCCAAGUUCAAUUUU
rnacentral:pre_miRNA from 2 species